GACGAGCCACCCGAACGUUUAUUCGGAAUUACUGGGCUUAAAGGGUGCGUAGGCGGUGUAGCAAGUCGGGAGUGAAAUACCCCAGCUUAACUGAGGAAUUGCUUUCGAUACUGCUGCGCUUGAGUGAGACAGAGGUAAGCGGAACUUAGGGGUGGAGCGGUGAAAUGCGUUGAUAUCCUAAGGAACACCGGUGGCGAAGGCGGCUUACUGGGGUCUCAACUGACGCUGAGGCACGAAAGCUAGGGUAGCAAACGGG
rnacentral:rRNA from 1 species